GGGAUCUUAGCUCAGCUGGGAGAGCGUGAGACUGAAGUUCUUAAGGUCCGGUGUUCGAUCCACCGAGAUCCCA